rnacentral:miRNA from 1 species
UAAUGCCCCCUGAAGCCCAGG